rnacentral:rRNA from 1 species
UCGAGGAUCUUCGGCAAUGGGCGCAAGCCUGACCGAGCGACGCCGCGUGUGCGAUGAAGGCCUUCGGGUUGUAAAGCACUGUCGAGGGGGAGGAAGCCGAAAGGUUGACCUAUCCCUGGAGGAAGCACGGGCUAAGUUCGUGCCAGCAGCCGCGGUAAGACGAACCGUGCGAACGUUGUUCGGAUUCACUGGGCUUAAAGGGCGCGUAGGCGGCUUGUCAAGUCAGGGGUGAAAUCUUUCGGCUUAACCGGAAAAGUGCCCCUGAUACUGAUGAGCUCGAGGAAGGUAGGGGCAUGUGGAACUUCCGGUGGAGCGGUGAAAUGCGUAGAUAUCGGAAGGAACGCCGGUGGCGAAAGCGACGUGCUGGACCUUUUCUGACGCUGAGGCGCGAAAGCUAGGGGAGCGAACGG